ACUCCUACGGGAGGCAGCAGUGGGGAAUCUUAGACAAUGGGGGCAACCCUGAUCUAGCCAUGCCGCGUGUGUGAUGAAGGCCUUAGGGUCGUAAAGCACUUUCGCCUGUGAUGAUAAUGACAGUAGCAGGUAAAGAAACCCCGGCUAACUCCGUGCCAGCAGCCGCGGUAAUACGGAGGGGGUUAGCGUUGUUCGGAAUUACUGGGGCGUAAAGCGCGCGUAGGCGGACUACUAAGUCAGGGGUGAAAUCCCGGGGCUCAACCCCGGAACUGCCCUUGAUACUGGUAGUCUUGAGUUCGAGAGAGGUGAGUGGAAUUCCGAGUGUAGAGGUGAAAUUCGUAGAUAUUCGGAGGAACACCAGUGGCGAAGGCGGCUCACUGGCUCGAUACUGACGCUGAGGUGCGAAAGUGUGGGGAGCAAACAGGAUUAGAUACCCUGGUAGGAUAGCG
rnacentral:rRNA from 1 species